CCCUGAUGAUAGCGGCGGACGGGUGAGUAACACGUGGGUAACCUGCCUGUAAGACUGGGAUAACUCCGGGAAACCGGGGCUAAUACCGGAUGGUUGUUUGAACCGCAUGGUUCAGACAUAAAAGGUGGCUUCGGCUACCACUUACAGAUGGACCCGCGGCGCAUUAGCUAGUUGGUGAGGUAACGGCUCACCAAGGCAACGAUGCGUAGCCGACCUGAGAGGGUGAUCGGGCACACUGGGACUGAGACACGGCCCAGACUCCUACGGGAGGCAGCAGAGGGAAUCUUCCGCAAUGGACGAAAGUCUGACGGAGCAACGCCGCCUGAGUGAUCAAGAUUUUCGGAUC
rnacentral:rRNA from 1 species